rnacentral:rRNA from 1 species
UGCGAAGGGGGCUAGCGUUGUUCGGAUUUACUGGGCGUAAAGCGCGUGUAGGCGGGUCGUUAAGUUGGGGGUGAAAUCCCGGAGCUCAACUCCGGAACUGCCUUCAAAACUGGCGACCUGGACUCAAGCAGAGGCAAGUGGAGUUGCGAGUGUAGAGGUGAAAUUCGUAGAUAUUCGCAGGAACACCAGUGGCGAAGGCGACUUGCUGGGCUUGUAGUGACGCUGAGAAGCGAAAGCGUGGGGAGCAAACAGG